rnacentral:tRNA from 1 species
GGGGAGGUCGCAUAGUCUGGUCUAGUGCGGUCGCCUGCUAAGCGACUACAGGGGCUUUAAACCUCUGUCGAGGGUUCAAAUCCCUCCCUCCCCG